rnacentral:rRNA from 1 species
UACGUAGGGGGCUAGCGUUGUCCGGAAUCAUUGGGCGUAAAGCGCGUGUAGGCGGUCCGGUAAGUCCGCUGUGAAAGUCGAGGGCUCAACCCUCGAAUGCCGGUGGAUACUGUCGGGCUUGAGUACGGGAGAGGCGAGUGGAAUUCCUGGUGUAGCGGUGAAAUGCGCAGAUAUCAGGAGGAACACCGAUGGCGAAGGCGGCGUUCUGGACUGCAACUGACACUGAGGAACGAAAGCCAGGGGAGCAAACGGG